rnacentral:rRNA from 1 species
GACGAAGGGGGCUAGCGUUGUUCGGAAUUACUGGGCGUAAAGCGCGUGUAGGCGGUUAUUCAAGUCGGGCGUGAAAGCCUUGAGCUCAACUCAAGAAAUGCAUUCGGUACUGGGUGACUAGAGGACCGGAGAGGAUAGUGGAAUUCCCAGUGUAGUGGUGAAAUACGUAGAGAUUGGGAAGAACACCAGUGGCGAAGGCGGCUAUCUGGACGGUUUCUGACGCUAAGACGCGAAAGCUUGGGGAGCAAACAGG